AUACGUAGGGGGCGAGCGUUGUCCGGAAUGAUUGGGCGUAAAGGGCGCGUAGGCGGCCCGGUAAGUCUGGAGUGAAAGUCCUGUUUUUAAGAUGGGAAUUGCUUUGGAUACUGUCGGGCUUGAGUGCAGGAGAGGUAAGUGGAAUUCCCAGUGUAGCGGUGAAAUGCGUAGAGAUUGGGAGGAACACCAGUGGCGUAGGCGACUUACUGGACUGUAACUGACGCUGAGGCGCGAAAGUGUGGGGAGCAAACAGGAUUAGAUACCCUGGUAGUCCACACUGUAAACGAUGAAUGCUAGGUGUAGGGGGUAUCGACCCCUUCUGUGCCGCAGUCAACACAAUAAGCAUUCCGCCUGGGGAGUACGGCCGCAAGGUUGAAACUCAAAGGAAUUGACGGGG
rnacentral:rRNA from 1 species